rnacentral:rRNA from 1 species
GAUGAACGCUGGCGGUAUGCUUAACACAUGCAAGUCGAACGGUCACUUCGGUGAUAGUGGCGGACGGGCGAGUAACGCGUGAGAAUCUGUCUUCAGGUCGGGGACAACAGUUAGAAAUGACUGCUAAUACCGGAUAUGCCUUAUGGUGAAAGAUUUAUUGCCUGAAAAAGAGCUCGCGUCAGAUUAGCUAGUAGGUGGUGUAAGAGACUACCUAGGCGACGAUCUGUAGCGGGUCUGAGAGGACGAUCAGCCACACUGGAACUGAGACACGGUCCAGACUCCUACGGGAGGCAGCAGUGGGGAAUUUUCCGCGAUGGGCGCAAGCCUGACGGAGCAAUACCGCGUGAGGGAGGAAGCUUUUUGGAGUGUAAACCUCUUUUAUUAGGGAAGAAUUGAUGACGGUACCUAAUGAAUCAGCAUCGGCUAACUCCGUGCCAGCAGCCGCGGUAAU